CGUUACGACGUAGUGAUAUCUUCAGAGCAAGACUGAGCGUGCCACCGACAAAGAAGAAAAGAAAAAGUUGUUAAAAGCGAUGUUGUGCCGACCGUCUUUCUAUGACUCCUGUGGAGAAGAUAUAUGAAGAAUGAAACGCAUGCAUAUUCGCACAUCGAUGGACAUUCACACGUGGCACAAUGACAGCUGCGCAGACUAGGUUCAUUCAAUGCCUCAAGACAGACUGGCUUGAGUCUCAAUCCCACCUGUGCACUCUCUCUAAUAUCGGAUCAGCUCAGUGCCCUGGUAAUUUAUGGCACAAAGGACACCUGUACAGGUGUACUUUAACUGGAAACAACUGCUACUCACAACGCAUCAGCACUGCACAGUGUUGAGCAGCGGCUUUCGUAUCUACAUACUUGAUACCGCUGUACCAUCUGAAGGGGAGGAGCAUGCCACACCUCGUUCUCGGCCUGCAGAAUCCAUGCGAACAAGCCAAAUGCUAUACAGAGGUGCUGGGGCUCAUACGGUGCUAUCCUACGUUCAAGAUCACCAACGAAGCUCCGGAUGUUGAAGUGCACCCUGCUCGUGCAUGUGGUGGCAAACUGAUACUUGCAGAAGCUGUGGAGCAACAGAGUGAAGUAGGAUGAAACGAAUGCCACAAAAAAAAAAGAAAAAAGAAGAGGAAAUCUAUUACCUAAGCAUCUACAACCGAUUGCAUGUAACCCUCCUUUCAGGGGUUCCAUGAGUGAAGAGUUCAAUGCUGCUGAAUCACCCGUGUGUGCCACUCUGAGACCUACCACCGCAGCUAUUCAAAACGGCCCUUUUGAGGCAACCCCACGCUUCUACAAGGGGAGAGCACUGCAAGAAGAACCAAAGUGCAUUCAGUUAAGCUUUGUGCCUGUCUGUUAUUUCUUGGAUACCUGCCUUUUCACUACAACUAUGAAAACAGCUACAGCAGUGACACCCCACUUGAGUGCUGCAGUUGCAGAAAUAUCUUGGCUUCGAUUUCCCCUUUUGGUCUCAGCAAGCAGAAAUUCCACAACAGCAUCUAUAGUGACCUAAUAUGUCUCUAUCCCAAUAAAUGGUACAUCCUCAGACAACAUAUUACUCAAUUAGGUAUGCACACCCAAGGUAGGUAUGCAUCAAGGGAAGUAACAGGCAGCAAAACACAUCUGAGAAACUGGAAUAUGAAUGUGCAAAAUUUCAUUUUUCCUGAACGUCAACGUUUGCACAAGGACGGUUUUGAGUAG